rnacentral:tRNA from 1 species
GCGGGUGUAGUUCAAUGGUAGAACUUCAGCUUCCCAAGCUGAUNAUGGGAGUUCGAUUCUCCUCACCCGCU